rnacentral:rRNA from 1 species
GGGCCCGCACAAGCGGUGGAGCAUGUGGUUUAAUUCGAUGAUACGCGAGGAACCUUACCAGGGCUUAAAUGUAGUAUGACCGGCUUGGAAACAGGCCUUCUCUUCGGAGCAGAUUACAAGGUGCUGCAUGGUUGUCGUCAGCUCGUGCCGUGAGGUGUUAGGUUAAGUCCUGCAACGAGCGCAACCCCUAUUCUUAGUUGCCAGCGGUUCGGCCGGGGACUCUAUGGAAACUGCCCGUGAUAAGCGGGAGGAAGGUGUGGAUGACGUCAAGUCCUCAUGGCCCUUACGGGUUGGGCUACACACGUGCUACAAUGGUAGUGACAAUGGGUUAAUCCCAAAAAGCUAUCUCAGUUCGGAUUGCACUCUGCAACUCGAGUGCAUG